rnacentral:lncRNA from 1 species
AUAUAUGUACUUUGGAAAAUGAAUUCAAAUAGCUUCAAAUGACAUGCAUUUACAUUGAAUUAAUGAUACUUGGCCCUGGUAAACGUAAUAGGAGUCGAGGUUAGCUUAAGGGUAUGGCAUGCCAUAUAAACAUACAGAGUUCGCAGUACUGCUACCGAUACAUGAUUUUUAUUUGAGGUUACAUAUCAGGUACCUCAUAAGCACGGUCAUAGAGCCCUGCUAUCACAGUUUUGGCUUCUGAGCCUACCGUUCGGCACUCUGUGCCUACCGUUAUAAUUCCUUAUCUACCUAG